GACGAACCGUGCGAACGUUGUUCGGAAUCACUGGGCUUAAAGGGCGCGUAGGCGGCUCGCGAGGUCGGGGGUGAAAUCCCACAGCUUAACUGUGGAAGCGCCUCCGAUACCGGCGGGCUCGAGGAAGGUAGGGGUGCGCGGAACUUCUGGUGGAGCGGUGAAAUGCGUUGACAUCAAGUGGAACACCAGUGGCGAAGGCGAAUCCCUGGAAAAUACCUGACACUGAGGCACGAAAGCUAGGGGAGCAAACAGG
rnacentral:rRNA from 1 species